GACGAACGCUGGCGGCGUGCUUAACACAUGCAAGUCGAGCGGUAAGGCCCCUUCGGGGGUACACGAGCGGCGAACGGGUGAGUAACACGUGAGCAAUCUGCCCAUCACAUCGGGAUAACUCCGGGAAACCGAAGCUAAUACCGAAUACGACCACCUCCGGCAUCGGAUGGUGGUGGAAAGUUCCGGCGGUGAUGGAUGAGCUCGCGGCCUAUCAGCUUGUUGGUGGGGUAACGGCCCACCAAGGCUUCGACGGGUAGCCGGCCUGAGAGGGUGACCAGCCACACUGGGACUGAGACACGGCCCAGACUCCUACGGGAGGCAGCAGUGGGGAAUAUUGGACAAUGGGCGAAAGCCUGAUCCAGCAACGCCGCGUGAGGGAUGACGGCCUUCGGGUUGUAAACCUCUUUCAGCAGGGACGAAGCGCAAGUGACGGUACCUGCAGAAGAAGCACCGGCCAACUACGUG
rnacentral:rRNA from 1 species